GGGCCCCACCUGGAGUGGGCCCUGCGGCUUAAUUUGACUCAACACAGGAAAACUCACCCGGCCCGGACACGGAGAGGAUUGACGAACUGACUAUCUCUUUCUUGAUUCUGGGGGUGGUGGUGCGUGGCCGUUCUGAGGAGGGGGAGCGAUGUGUCUGGUUAAUUCCGAACACGAACGAGACUCUCGCCUACUAUUUAGCGGGCACGGUCGUUAAGCGCCCGGGCAGCAAGCUUCUUAGGGGGACAGACGGCGAGUAAGCCGUACGAGAUAGAGCUGUGAUGGGUCUGUGAUGCCCUUAGAUGUCCCGCGCCGCACGCGCGCUACACUGAAGAGAUCAGCGUGCAUGUGCUUCCUACGCGAACGCAACCGACCAUCUUGUGAACCGUUUAGGAUAUGGAAUUAUUCUCUGUAAUCUACUCAGAACUAGGAUCGAGCAUGACUCAGCUAGAUUCUGCCUGCCUCUGCCUGACGUCGACCUCGACCGAUGACUGCUGUGAAGCUCAGUCGGCUGCGACUGCC
rnacentral:rRNA from 1 species